rnacentral:rRNA from 1 species
AAUAUUGGGCAAUGGGGGCAACCCUGAUCCAGCCAUGCCGCGUGUGUGAAGAAGGACUUCGGAUUGUCCUGCACUUUAAGUUGGGAGGAAGGGCUUUAGGUUAAUACCCUGAAGUUUUGACGUUACCAACAGAAUAGGCACCGGCCAACUCUGUGCCAGCAGCCGCGGUAAUACAGAGGGUGCAAGCGUUAAUGGGAAUUACUGGGCGUAAAGCGAGCGUAGGUGGUUCAGUAAGAUGGGUGUGAAAUCCCCGGGCUUAACCUGGGAACUGCUUUCAUAACUGCUGAGCUAGAGUACGGUAGAGGGUAGUGGAAUUUCCUGUGUAGCGGUGAAAUGCGUAGAUAUAGGAAGGAACACCAGUGGCGAAGGCGACUACCUGGACUGAUACUGACACUGAGGUGCGAAAGCGUGGGGAGCAAACA